AGAGUUUGAUCCUGGCUCAGGACGAACGCUGGCGGCGUGCCUAAUACAUGCAAGUCGAGCGGACCGAUUGAAAGCUUGCUUUCAUGAGGUCAGCGGCGGACGGGUGAGUAACACGUGGGUAACCUGCCCUAUAGACCGGGAUAACUCCGCGGAAACGCGAGCUAAUACCGGAUAACACCCCGGAGCGCAUGCUCCGGGGUUGAAAGGCGGCUUUGCUGCCACUAUGGGAUGGGCCCGCGGCGCAUUAGCUAGUUGGUGGGGUAACGGCCUACCAAGGCGACGAUGCGUAGCCGACCUGAGAGGGUGAUCGGCCACACUGGGACUGAGACACGGCCCAGACUCCUACGGGAGGCAGCAGUAGGGAAUCUUCCACAAUGGGCGAAAGCCUGAUGGAGCAACGCCGCGUGAGCGAAGAAGGUCUUCGGAUCGUAAAGCUCUGUUGUAAGGGAAG
rnacentral:rRNA from 1 species